rnacentral:rRNA from 1 species
GAUGAACGCUGGCGGUAUGCUUAACGCAUGCAAGUCGAACGGACUCUUCGGAGUUAGUGGCGGACGGGUGAGUAACGCGUGAGAAUCUGGCUUUGGGUUCGGGACAACCACUGGAAACGGUGGCUAAUACCGGAUGUGCCGAGAGGUAAAAGAGAAAUUGCCUGAAGAUGAGCUCGCGUCUGAUUAGCUAGUUGGUGAGGUAAAGGCUCACCAAGGCAGCGAUCAGUAGCUGGUCUGAGAGGAUGACCAGCCACACUGGGACUGAGACACGGCCCAGACUCCUACGGGAGGCAGCAGUGGGGAAUUUUCCGCAAUGGGCGAAAGCCUGACGGAGCAAUACCGCGUGAGGGAGGAAGGCUCUUGGGGUGUAAACCUCUUUUCUUAGGGAAGAACAAAAUGACGGUACCUAAGGAAUCAGCAUCGGCUAACUCCGUG